UGGAACAUAACGUUAGAGCAAUUAAUUAACCCUCCCUAAUUUCUGCAUACAUAUUAAUUUGGUGGGAGGAAUACAAAAUAUAAUCAACCAAGUACGAGUAUAUAUGGAGUCACACACACAAGUGAUGGAACGUAUAAUUUUUUUAUUUGACAAAUAUAUAAUCAUAUAUAGUGGCACCCUCAUAGAUUGAAUGUGGAUUCGUGGUCCUCACCAUGAUCGAUCGACUAGCUGCAGAAAGGUGAUGAAAAUAGAAAAUUAUGUAAUUUUUUACAAGUAAUCAUAUUAUUAUAUUCCUGAUGAUCUGGAUAAUCAAUGUUAGCUAAUUAAUUUCUUCUUGAUGCAUGAUUAAUAAUAUUCCUGAACCCUGAUACACAUAAUUUCAUCUAAAAGCAGUACUGGGAUCAACUUUUUGAGUGGGCAAAAUCUUUAAAUAAAAGGAGCUACAUACCUCAAUUACUUGCUACAUUAAUGUGCUACUAUUUAAUUAUGGCAAAGCCUAAACAGUCUUGUUAAUUUGAUCUUCUACUACCUCUCUCCAUCCUUUUCCUCCCAACACAAGGCUCUUCCAAAAUCGUCGACAGGCCUACAAAUUUUCUUGCAAGAACAAAGAUUUCGAAAUUGAACAUGAUCAGGUAAACGUGACAUCAAUUUAAUUAUUUACUUGCUAUCUAUCUAUAUAAAAAAAUCAUACUACUCACCUGAUCCAUAAUUCUUGUUAUUAUGCUGUAGUUGAUGAAUUUGAAUUUGAAUUUCAGUUUGUUCCUUGGCCUUAAUCCUUGCUGCUCUGAAAAGCCAUGUGGCCUCCAUCUGCUUGGUGAUCAUACGCACGGCGUGAUACGCAGCUUGAGGCCGAAUCCGGCCUCUGAUCUGAUGAAGACGAUGCAGUCCAUCAAGCUCUCUUUAGCCCUCCCUUUCAUGUCAUAAGCCUGCGCUCUGAUCCAGAGGCUUCCGGCGUGGGAGUUUGGAGGAGACGAGAGGCAAAGAGCACGCGUUGCAUCACUAAUGGCGGCGUCUGCAUCCCUCAGCAGCAGAUGGCACUGCGCCCUAUUGCUAUACAGCAUCAUCCUCUCAUUCCUAUGCCUCAAUGGGCAUAUCUCAAGACCCUCACCAUAUCUCAACACAGCUUCUCCCACAUUUCCCACCAACAGAUCAUGAUUCCCUUGCUGCUUCAUCAGCUUCGCCACCACCCUUCUCUCUUCAACCUUGUCUCUUGACAUCAACUUCUCUCUCUUCCUUCUCUCAACCAUCAAUUUGGAGUAGUCAUCUUCAUGUUCAUGUACAAGUAAUGCCCUAGUGAUGGAAUCUCCCACGUUUCUUCUGUUGCCAAGAUUCUUCAACUCAAUCAAAUCCACCAGUACUGCAGCAGAAGAUCCGACAACGGCAUUGCAUCUCGUAUCCGGAUCCUUGAGAAGCAAGAGGAGGCAAUCAAUCCCCAUAUACUGCCACUCAUCUGAAGAUCUUGAAAUGUUGCAUAGAUUCUCAAUCACAUGCUUGGAUCUUGAGAUGCUCUCCCUCCCAAUUUUAGUGUGGCAUAGGAUUCGAAUCAGGCCUAUUCCAGCUGGCGACGCGUGAUUGGCUAAUCCACCCCAUACUUGGCACAGCGCCUCGAGGAAUCCCCUCUUGCACAUCAGAUGCAAACACCUCUCCUUCACAGCAAAGCAGUUUAAGAGAUGGAUGCUCCAACACUGCAGCUGGCUAGCCCAUUCCUCCGCCUUCCGAUUCUCCGUCUCCGCCCCUCCGGCGCCUCGAGUCAGCAGCUUGCACUCAUACCUAACCCGAUCCUUCACUCCCACGAACUUUCUAUGCACCUCUUCCAAGCAAGAAAUGGCCAAAUUCAUGGCUAAUGUCACUACUUCCUCUUCAUAAACCGCGACGGCCUCGAACGUCUUCUCGUAGCUUGCAAGAUGGCCGAGUGCCCUAACGGCCACCCUCUGCUCCACCCAGCUCAUCUUCUUCCCUCUCAGGAGCUCCAACAGUGGCUGCACCGCUCCCGAAUCAACGGCCCUGGCCGCGGAAUCAGCUCUGUUCAUGGUGUAGGAGCCCACUAUGUGAGCUGCAUAGUAAGGGAUGUAGAUGUUUUGAUGCUUGAGCAGCCAACAUCUGUCAUGGAUGGCUUUGUUCAUCAAGAUUGUCAUGCACUCGAAGAGGCCUAGAGAGAGAAGCUCCUCGUCGUCAGGUCGAGUCAUUGCCACGUUCCACAGCUCACUAACCACCAAGAUGAGCUGUUCAUCGUCAAGAAAAGGUAUCCCUUUUAUGUAAUCUUGGAUUGUGCUUCUCCUGAUGGAUGAAUCUUGCUCCUUCAAUAUGCAAAAGAAGCAACUAGAUUUGGUGCAGAUUUGCUUGGAUGACAUGAUGUUUGAUGAGAUAUAUUAAGUAUCUAUAUGGCCCAAAGGUUAUUGAUGUUUUGCUUUUAGGGUUUGAAGAUAUGAGUGGAAGGUGAAUGGAUUAAUAGAUUUAAAUUUUAAUGAAUGUAGUGGAUUAGGCCGAGUAGUGAGCCUAAGCGGCGCAUUAGAUGGCUUUCUGUAGUUUUGAGAAUUUGAAUAAUGAGCAUAAAGUUAUGCGAUCAUUGUUUUUUCACACAUCAGAUAGCAAGAAGUUGAGUCCUGCCUAAUUUCUUUUAUUGGGAUUAAGAUGGUGUUUGGCUAAGCUUAUUUUAAAGAGCUUAUAAGAUGUAAUUUUUAAGAGCUUAUAAGUUGUUAAAGUGUUUGGAUAAUUGAGCUUAUAAGCUAGAGAGAAAAAAUUUUUAGAGAAUGAAUAGAAAUGAACUAAAUGAUUAAUGAUGAAAAUAAUAAAUUAUAGUUGAAAAAUAUUUGUAAAAUGAUAGUUGCAUAUGAGAUUAUAAAAAAAUAAGUUGUGGUAGAGGAACUUAUUUUUUGAGGAGCUUAUAAGCUCUUAGAGCUUAUUUUUGGAACUUAUAAACUAUUUAGGAGCUUAUUUUGCCAAACACUUUGAAGGAACUUAUAAACUUCUGGGUUAUUUGCCUGUAAAUACACGAGCUUAUAAGCUUAGCCAAACACCCUCUAAGAAAGGCUUAAUGUACAAUGAAUCUAGCUAGUUACGCUUUAAUUGUUAGUGUUCACUAGAUAAAAUUAAUAAUUAAACUUUGUUUCAUGUCUAUUCCUUAAAUAGAAACUCUUUUGUCUUAUACGGAAUAAAGGGUCAUAUUACAUUAAAAGCCUACAUGAAACAGUAGUUAAUAUCUCAUUAAUAUUAUUAUUACUUGGGAUUGCGAGGGAAUUAACGACAAUUGUGUGUGUGUGUGUGAAGAUUAUCUCAAAUUAAGCAAAGCUAAUUUCAGACNNNNNNNNNNNNNNNNNNNNNNNNNNNNNNNNNNNNNNNNNNNNNNNNNNNNNNNNNNNNNNNNNNNNNNNNNNNNNNNNNNNNNNNNNNNNNNNNNNNNNNNNNNNNNNNNUAUAUAUAUAUAUAUAUAUAUAUAUAUAUAUUUCAGAAAACACAGCUUAAUAAAUUAAUAUAAUUUCCUGUCUCAAAAUAAAAUAUAAUUUUCGAACCAAUGUAAUUGAUGUAAUUAAGUGGUCCCUUGUCACUUACAUUUGUGAAGCUUCAUUUACUAUUAAUUAAUCCUGCAACUACUCAACAACACAUUUUUAAUUUAUAUUAUAUGAAUUAGUACAAAUCUGGGAUGGUCUCAAGGGUUCGUAGCGAAUGACAUAAAAAGCAGUUUUACCAAUCCAUGGAUCCUUAAUUAUUUGUUAUAUAUGUAUAGAAUAAUCACUGUUAUUCAAUUUUCUAGCUUUUUCUUGGUGUACACAGAGAUCAUGGCAUGCCUAAUUAUAUUAAAUUUGUCGCAUUGUGUAGAAAGGUCCCUUCUCCCUUUCAUAAAGUUAAUCUAUUUUGUCACUAGUGCCCCUAAUUUAUUAAUUUUUUAUGCUUCAUUUUGAACUUGGAAUGAUGACAAUUAGUUCUUGGUGAUGAUGUUCUAGUAGGAACAAACCUAGGAGGAAGUGCGAUGAAUCUUGUUUUCCGAUGAUGCCUUAAAUUUGAGGACAACUUCAUUAUUUAAGUGUGUUCAUUAGGGUUUUCCAUAAACCCUAAUUAAUAUCUGUCCUCCUGCAUAAGAAGUUUCCUUUAUUUAAUGUAUCAUCUUUGAAAACUGUCAAUCCUAAUAAGCAUAUGUCAAGAUUCAGCUGCCCAUAUGUUUUUUUUAUUAAAAUACAAGCAUAAUACUAAUAAUAACGAACAAUAUUUUCAUAGAUUAUAUAGUUUCAAUAUAUCACAAAACUUUUUUUGGACAUUCCGUAUAUUUAAGUCAUUUUUUAUUAAAAGGCAACAUAAUAAUAUAAUAAUAAUAUAAUAAUAUAUAAAGAAAGAGAAAAAAUGGACGAAAAAAUGGAGGGAGAAUAUACUAAUAUUUAUAUAGCAUAAAUUAUAUAAUACGUUAUAAUUUUUAUAUGCAUUUACCCUAAUUUUAAAUUAUUUUUUAUUUUAAAGACAAGUAUUUGUAAUACUAACAUCCCAAAAAUUAGAUUUUACACUACAAAAAAAUGCGAAAAUAGCGGCCAAAAUUAGCGACGGCGAAGCCACCGCUGGCAAUUACCGACGGCACGGCGGCGGCAAAAACGGCGACCCGCCUUUUGCCUAUUACCGGCGCAUUACCGACGGCAAAACAACCGCCGCUAAUUAGCGGCGGUUGUGCCGUCGCUAAUUUAAAUAUAUGUUAAUUUAAAUACAAAUUAUUUAUUACCGACGGCGUUGCCGUCGCUAUUUACCGGCGGCAAGAGGCCGCCGCUAAUCACCACCGCCGGUGACAUCCGGCGAUAGCACCACCGCCGUCCGGCCAAAAUUACCGACGACAUUUUUCCGCCGCUAAUUACCGACGGCAAAUGCCGUCGGUAAUUUUUUUUUAUUUUUUUUAUUUUUAUUUUUUUUUUCAUUUAUCAUACUAAAAUCAGAUCAGAUAAAAUACUAAAAUUAAAAUUAAAUAUAUAUUGAAAUACAAGUGAAAAUUUAAACAUUGAUUAUUACUAAUCAAAAUUAUUACUAAGAAUUCAAGAUUCCUAGUAAGAAACUUAUAAUUAUAACUAUAAGAAUAGUUUAAUUUGUAUUAGUGUAUCCACUUGAUUAGUGAUCCACUCAUCAAUCAUCACUAAUCUAAUAUUAUUACUAAGCAUUCAAGAUUAUUAGUAAGAAACUUAUAAUUAUAACUUAAUAAUGUUAAUUUGAUUAGUGAUUCACACAUCACUCAUCACUAAUGUAAGAUAUUACUUAAGAAUUCAAGAUUCUUAGUAAGAAUCUUAUAAUUAUAACUUUAAGAAUGUUAAUUUGAUUAGUGAUUCACUCAUCAAUCAUCACAUCUAAUAUUAUUCUAAGCAUUCAAAAUUGUUAGUGAGAAACUUAUAAUUAUAACUUAAUAAUGUUAAUUUGAUUAGUGAUUUACUCAUCACUCAUCACUAAUCUAAGAUUAUUACUAAGAAUCUAAGAAACUUAUAAUUAUAACUUAAUAAUGUUAAUUUCAUUAGUGAUUUACUCAUCAUCACACUAAUCUAAAUUAUUACUAAGAAUUCAAGAUUCUUGUAAAACUUAUAAUUAUAACUUAAGAAUGUUAAUUUGAUUAGUGAUCACUCAUCAAUCAUCACUAAUCUAAUAUUAUUACUAAGAUUCAAGAUUUUAGUAAAACUUUAAUUAUAACUUAAAAUGUUAAUUUGAUUAGUGAUUCACCAUCAUCAUCAUAAUGUUAGAUAUUACUAGGAAUUCAAGAUUCUAAGAAUCUUAUAAUUAUAACUUAAGAAUGUUAAUUUGAUUAGUGAUUCACUCAUCAAUCAACACUAAGGAUAACUUAUGAAUUGAUGUGAAAUAAUAAACUAAAUAAUGAUAAAAAAUAAAAAAUCGAAAAUUAAUAAUAAAUUAAUUAAUAAAUAUUUUUCCGACAUAAAAAUAAGAACGGAAACGAGCCCAAUCCGUAAUUAACAACAUUUUUUGUAUAUCAUCUCGACAUAUUCUAAGGUUAUGAAUAUAUAUGAUAUUGUAUAUUGAAGUAGACUUUAAAUGAAUUAAUAGAUACUAUAUAUAUCAAUAAUACGAGUGUUCUGUACUGGUGACCAUUCGAAAAGAACUUCAAGGUUAAGCGUGCUUGACUUAGAGCACAACUAAGAUGGGUGACCGACUGGGAAGUUCGUCUAAAUUAUGCAAUACUGUAUAAAUACCGAAAUAAAUUAUGGAUAUACAAUAAAAUAAAUAAAUAAAAAAAAUAAAUAAAUAAAUAAAAAAAAAAAAAUAAAAAAAUUAAAAAAAUAUUACCGAGGGCAAAGGUUAAUGCCGUCGGUAAUUACCGACGGCAUUUUGCCCUCGGUAAUACCUUGAACAACUCCGGCGUGUGCGCCACCACCGUCCGGUGGAAACUACCGACGGUAAUCUCGCCGCCGCUAAUUACCGACGGCAUUUGCCGUCGGUAAUUUUCCGGCAACUCUCCGCCGUUCAACGGCGGUAUUUAACGGCGGAAAUGCCGGCGGCUUCGCCGCCGUUAAUUGCCGGCGGCGGUCGAUCGCCGUCGGUAAUGGCGUUACCGACGAACCGGUUAGCGACGACGAGUUGCCGCCAGUAACGCCGCCGGUAGCCUUUUCACCGGCGGCCGUCUCUUAUUACCGACGGCAAAAUGCCGUCGGUAAUCGUACGUUUUUUUGUAGUGGGAAUACAAAACCACCAAAUUGAUUUGUUGUGUAAUAUAUUAUUUAAAUAUAUUAUUUCUUUCUUUUCUUAUUUUAUAUAUAGAACAUAUUUUUUCAUUUUCAAGUAAUUAUGUGAUAGAUAAAAUAUAUAAUGUACAUUUUUUUGUGAGAAUAUAUGUGUUAGAUAAAAUAUAUAAUGUACAUUUUAAAUGAAAGCUUAUAAAUGAUAUUUCAGUUGAUAUAUAAUAUGUAAAAAAUAGACUUAAAAUAAGUAAAUUAUAAUAAUACAUAUAAUAUUUUAUAUUUAUAAACAAUGAUAUUUACUAAUUAAAAUUAGAACCGUAUUUCAGUUUUUUAAAAAUUAUCAAAAUUGUGUAUUUUUAUAUCAAAAAAAUUAUUGAUAGCAUAUUAUGUAAUUAUCAUAAAAAUGAUAUAAUUUAUUUUAAGGAACACUAAUUCAAUAAUCUAAUUGUUAUAUUAUUAAACGAAAUGUGUGAAANAAUUGAAUUAAUUGAUUGGGGCAGAACACAACCAUAUUCUACAGUAACCGGCGACUGUCUCAAGAAUAUACGCGGCUGUCAUGAGAGGGAGAGAAGCGUGUAGUGACCGAUCUUCAUAAAAUAUUAUAGUGUAAAUGAUUUCAUUACAACUCAUCAUGUGAAAAUGUGUUGCUACAAUCUUCAAAUACAUGUGACAUAUCAUUCUGCUUCACUUGUUUGUGCAACUUUUAAACAAAGGGCUUGAAAUUUAGUUGUUCACUUGUAUGUGCAACUUUAAAAAGAAAUUUAAAAAUGAAAUAUGUUGCCUGCUCAUCUACUCCUAGAUUCAAGGUGCUCGUCUUCCCCCGUCCCUCUCCUAUUUCACUAUUUGUCUCUCAUUUAUUAACUCAAUAUUAAACCCUAAAAUCCUAAAUCAAUAUUGGUGAAUUGGUGAUUUGAUUGAGUGGAUGCAAAUUGUUGUUUUUUUUAGUUUUAACUGUAUGUUUGUAAAUUGAAGAUUAAUUUUUGAAUGAUUGUUUGGACUCGUUCAUUGAAAAAUUGUAUUUCUACAAGUUUCUGAUGAUGAGGUUGUCAAUCGCUUUUAACAAAUGAAGACCCGUUGAAGAAAAUAGAUAACUAUGUAAUUUUCUUUUAUAUUUGAAGUGUAUUAUAACUUUAAAAUUGAAAAAUAUUAUGAAAUAUACUACUUAAUAAUGAUUAUGACAAUAUGUAAUUAUGCAAAAUGAUAUUUACUCACUUUGAAAAGUAAAAAGUACUCAUAAUUUUAUAAAAUAUAUAAAUUUUACUCAUUUAGUACUUUUUUAUUCUUAUGUCGAUUAUUAGUGCAUUUUUCACUAGUGUUUCACCAUUGAUACUUGAUUGUUCGACUCGCAGUGAUCCAGUAUAUCGAUUAUUAGUACAUUUUCUAGAAUUUUCGAUCAAUAAUGCUCAACUGCUCAGUCAUUACGAGUCGAGUAGUCGAGCAUUAUUGAUCGAGAAUUCUAGAUGCAUUAUGAGUCGAGCAUUAUUUACAUAUAAGAACAUUAAUCUAAUUAUAUACUUUUGAUCAAAGGUGAUGAUACCGACGGGGGGGGGGGGGGGGGGGCGGCUGAAGCCCCUCCCAAUUUGGAGUUUUAAAAAUAUAUAUAUAGAUAUAUGUUUAUAUUAUAAAAGNCAGGGCGUAGCCAGGGGGGGGGGGCUGAAGCCCCCUCCCAAAUUUUGAGUUUUUUAAAAAAUAUAUAUAGAUAUAUGUUUAUAUUAUAAAAAAAAUUUAUUUUACAAAAGUUGAUUAGCUUGUUAUAUUCUUCCAUUUAUAAUUAAUUUAAGGAUAAUUGUGUUAUUUAAAACUAUAUAAUCUAUAAAAAUAUUAUACAUUAUUAUCUCUAUUUGUUUUUCUUUUAAUGAUAAUGUGUUAUUUGGAAUUGUAUAAUCUAUAAAAAAUUGUUUUGUUGUUAUUAUUAUGCUUGUCUUUUAUUAUUAUUGAUUCUUGCUUGUAAUUUAUUGAAAAUAUAUAAUUUAUGAAAAUAUUGUUUGUUAUUAUUGUUAUUAUGCUUGUCUAUUAAUAAAAAUGUCUAAAUGUACGAAACGAUAAAAAAAAGUUUGCAAUGUGUUGAAAUUAAUUUGUAAUAUAUUAAAACUAUAUAGUAUAUGAAAAUGUUGUUCUUUAUAAUUAUUAUUAUGCUCGUCUUUUAAUAAAAAAUGCUUUAAAAAUACAGAAUGUCCCAAAAAAAAUUGUAAUGUAUUGAAACUAAUUUGUUAUAUAUUUAAAUUAUAUAAUCUAUGAAAAUGUUGUUCUUUAUUAUUACUAUUAUGCUUGUCUUUUAAUAAAAAAAAUGUCUUAAAUAUACGCAAUGUCCAAAUUUUUUUUCGGAAAAAGGGUUUAACUUUCCACAAUAUUAAUAUUGCAGAUACUCAAAAAUCAAUCACUAACAACUACACUAUUAUAUACUCCCUCCGUCCCACGAAGCAUGACACAGUUUCCUUUUUGGUCUGUCCCACGAAGCAUGACACGUUUUUAAAAAUAGCAAAAAAUUAACCCUUUAUUCACAUUUUCACUUUUUCACAUACCACACUUAACACACAAAAUACCAAUUUCUUAAUUCCCGUGUCGAAAAGAAAUGUGUCAUGCUUCAUGGGACGGAGGGAGUAUAUAUAUAUAUCAAGAAUAUGUAUUUUAAUAUUUUUGCAUUAGACCAAUCUACUAUUACUAUGUUAAGAGGCAAAAGUCAAGCAGUAUCAUGCACACUAUGGCAAUAACAUUUGUGCAGAUUAUGUAAUUUACUAUCUUUGUCUCAGGCCAAUCUAGUAGAUUAAAGAGGCCGAAACCCAUUAUGCUGAUCAAGAAUGUGUGCGUGUUGAGAUUUAUCUUGUUUAGCCUUCCAACGAAAAUUACUUAUCUUGAAACACAUGAAUUUAUUUUAAAAUGUUUAAUUUUUAAAUGCGAGUAUAAUUUAUGAUGUGGUGUUGGGGUUAGGCUAGAUACAUGGAUUACUUUGAAGAAAAGCCCAUCAAAAGUUUAAGUUUGUGACACAUAAUAAUCUCCGAGCCCAAAAAUCUUCAUAAUAGAAAUCUUGGCCCAUCUCCGAAUCACGAAAUGAAACGGGAGUGGGAUUGACAGUCACACUUUUCGCUUCGGAAAGGGGAAAAUGGUGCUAACAAAUUUCAGUGGAGGAGGUGUCGGUUUUGGUGAGCUUUUAUGUCAUUCUAUUAACAAUUUUUGCGAUUUGUUCCAUGAUUUUUGCUUACUGAAAAUCUGUCCUUCCUUCUUUUUUUGGAUAACUGGAUUUUGAACUGGUCUCAGGUUUCGGAGUUGGCUGUGGUUUUGGAGUUGGGUGGGGAUUCGGAGGUUUGUUACUCUAAAUUAUUCUGUUAAGCCUACCUUCGUUUUUCUGUAGAUAACAAAAAUUGAGCAGAGAAAAAUGGGGAAGGACAAGAUUCUGGAUUCAUACAAUCACGAUUAUUGAUGGUUCUUUUUUAUUUGCUUAGGAGCUGGUUUUUCAAGUGCUUUUUUUUGUUAUCCAGCUGCAUUCUCCUCUGUUGAUUUAGUAGCAAAUGUGAAUUUUGGUGGAUUAUUUUUGGUUUUCUUCUUGACUUGUUUGUUGGACAAACCAAUAAAAUGGAUGAGCAUAUGAAUUGAGUAUAUGUGUCUAUCUAUCUAAAUACGUCUCGCUAUUAUUCAUUGUCAAUGUGUGGUUUAUUGCAAUAUAUGAAAAUGUAUCAUACUUGAGUUGGCCUUUUGCCAAUGAGAAGAUAUAGGUUACAAUAUUGAUGUAAUAUAUGAAGGUGAUCUUAAUUUCAGUAUGCAUCCAACUUGUUAUGAUGCUGGCUGCAUUUGUCAGUGGCUAGUCAAGUUUAGAUUUUUCGUGCAUUUAAAUUACUAAACAAGAAGUAUAGCUUUUGUUGAUAGUUAGUUCUGCUUCAUGAAUUGUGCACCUGCUUCCACAUUCAGCAUAGUGAAGAAGAUGCAGCAUUACUUCCAUGUGACCAUUCUAUUCGGUAUGUAGCACAAUAUGAAGAACUGGAAGGAUUUGAAUAGCUCUACAUUAAGGUAGUAAUUGUAUGUGGUCUGUUACUUUUCCAACUUACUAGGGAGUUGGUGUUGUUAUUUGGACCAAAGAAUUAGGAUAAACCUCUCAUAGAAUAUAAUAGGUGUAGCACCCCAGUGGAAUUUUUAGACCACUGUUUAUCAUUUACUUGACCUGCAUGUUGAGAUGAUUGUAUAUAGGGUCACUUUUGUUGCUCGUCUCUCCAUCUUUAUCGAAACUUGAUUCAUAGCAUCUGUGUCACUCAUGGUGGGUAGUUUCAAACAUAACCCAAAUGCUUAGUCAGAUUGCAAUUUCCAAUCAUAUAGGAAUUCUACUGUAUAGUGAUCAAAUUACCUAAAACAAAUACUCCCUCCAUCUCAAUAAAAGUGACAUGCAUUCAAUUUUGAGAUGUUCCACUAUAAGUGGCUCGGACCACAAAUGGAAAAAAUUUAACUCUUGAAAAAGUGUGGGCCCUACUACUUUUAACCAAUUUACACUUUCUCUUUAGUUUCCGUGCCCAAAAGUUUUGAGCCACUUAUAAUAGAACAGAGGGAGCAUUUGACUAUGACUUAUCAAACCAUUGCCAUGCUUUGUUAAUCUGAAAUCUUGUAUGGACACUGUGAUAGCUUGUACGGACAGAGGGAGUAUUUGACUACGGCAGUGUUAAACGAUAGUUCGUGAAUCGCUUCCCUAAGUUUGUACGUAUACCGUGAUCUUCGUUUUUCCAGGCUACAUUGUCAUAGAAUGGUCUAUUAUCCUAUACUACCAUAUAUUGGACUUGGCCAUGGUUACAUUCUGCACUGGUCAUGCAUCAAGAAAGAAAUUAUUUCUUGAACUUACGUUGCUCUUUAUUUCAGGUGCACCCUUGAACCUCUUUGGACUUGGUGUAGGUAGAAUCUUGCAAUAAUAUGUUUGUACUCUGCAAUUGUUUCUUCUAAUUAUCUCUACACUAACGCAUUCAUUGUUUGAUCUGAAGGUGGUGGCUGCGGUGUCGGGUUGGGGCUCGGAUGGGGAUUUGGCGCGGCUUAUGGCAGUCGGUACUAUAGUCCUGGAUUAACAUUCCAAGGCGUCGAAUUUGCCAAUAAACCUAGUGAAGAAAAAGAUGCCAAAAACUUGUCAAAGAACAAGUAGAAAAAGUAGGGUUGUCACUGAAAUAUAUCUUUCUCAAUGAAAUGCCGAAAGCUUUUGUAGUUUGGAAAUAUAAUGAAUAGUUUGAUUUCAUAUGUCAUUUUCCUCGUAUGCUUGGCAUAGAAAGCAUUCCGUAUCGCAGACUGUUUAUCUAUCAUUUUGUAUUUCACUUUUACGUAAGGUGUUGUAGAUGCUAACUCUAUCCCUCAAAAGUUUGCCCCAAGGAGAACGACACAAGUUUUAAUAAAAACUGGUAAAAAGUUAUUUGAUGGUGGAAUUAUGUACAAAAAAUAGUGUUUAAAGAAUUGUAAUUAUAAAGCUGAUGGUGGAAUCAUGUACAAAAGUAAUAAGUAAGGGGAUUGGGACAAAUUUUUUAGAGGCAUCAAAAGAGGAAAUUGGCAUCAAAUUUUUUAGUGUGAUUGAUGAAUCAUAAAUGGACCUGUAGUUGCAAAGCCUGCAGCACAUAAGAGAGUAACUCUGAAAUUAUAUCGUACCAUAUAAAAAGCAUGAGAUAACUACACAAUAUUGGCCUUUCCUAGUUCAAACGGAAAUCAAUAUACACAAGUCACGAAAAUUUAUAUACAAGUUGCCUUCGAUACAUGAAACCAAUGAUACAACAGAAGCGACUAUGACAUUUAAGUUUCUGAAGUGGAAAGAUCGAUACUACAACAGCAGCUCCAAAAAUACAACAUUACAACAAGCCUCAUCGCCCAGAAGAAACAAAAACGGGUAGUUGUGAUGUUGCCAAAGCAGCUCUGGCAUAAUCAUGGAUGCUAAAUUACAGUUCUCAUCAAUGAAUGCUGUGUAUCAUCUGUUUAGGGCAUGGUAAAGCAAUCCCCCAACUAUCUGAUUUUACAACAGAUGAAUCCUGAAUUAGAAUGGAGAAACGAAGCUCUCCCCCUCAGAUUGCACGCAACGCCAAUAAGACUGCAGACAAAACAAUAUAAUAAGUAUAUCGAGACAACUGAAGCUUCAUCUCUAAUAGUUUCUAUUACACUACAAUCGCAGAGUUACAGACAGAAUAGACCAUAUAUAUUAACUAGUAGAGGCAAACACUUUCACAUGUAUAUCAUAUUCACAUCAGCAGUUUCCAGUAUUCAUGUAUGGCCGUAUGGGUUUUGCAACAAGCUCUUGAUUCUAUAUAUGCAAUAUUUGCAUGGAUUUAGUUCUGUGAUUCCCAGAAUACACUGCAUUAUUUUUGAAAUAUUCAAGAAAAGAACUGUCAUGAGAGAUAAUCAUGAAUUUCAUGUUCAUCAAUAGAUUUUUAAUAGGUUAAAUAAGUUCCGUAAGUUACAAAUGCCUAGAUUUCAUUUUUUUAAUUUCUUUGGUGCAUGAUGCAUGUAAUCCUUUCACUAUUUUAUUUUGACAUAAACAGAACAAUAAUUGAAAUCAAAUUGGUAGCACCAAAAACAUUUGCCUCUAGGCCACAACAUGCUCUAAAGAAGGUACCACACUCUUAUGUUUUAUGAAACAAAACAUUUUAAUUAUCGGUUGAAAUGCCUUGUAAGAAAAUUCCGGCAUCCAUGUAGAAUUAAUUGCUGCCAGAAUUUUAAUUUGGGCCAAAUUCCAAAAUGUUGAAAAUUCAUGUAUUGAUUGACCAAAAAAAAUAAUGUUGGUUAAAAACGAAAAUUUGGGUAUACUUCGUGUAUUUACUAUUUACGGGAAAUUAACCCAUAAGGGAAAAAGUGCAAAGUAUGAUACAAAAUUACGAAAGUUCCUACCCUGAAGGAAAAUGGAUGCAAUAACUGAUGGGGUUGUAUAUAAGGCAAAACCAUUGGAACAUUUGAUAUUGUAGUUCAUACCAAAUAUGUUUAUCAUUUACUAAGGAGCUAUGACACGUGUAAGAUUAGGAAAAAAAUUGACAAAGUUACCGUAAAAUUUUAAUGUGACAAGUAUGAAUAAUCUCAUUAUACACUUUACAGGAAAGUGGAGAGGGAAAAAUAAUCUAGAGUGGUACUAUUAUUGUAUAUAGCCUAUAACUCAAGGAGAAGGAUCAAUUGUAACAAUAAGAAGUUUAAAAAACCAUAUCAAAUUGCAAAUGCAGUCGAAUCUGAAUCACUACAAGAAAUGAAACAGUUACCAUAUAGCAAAUAGAAAAUCAGCAGGCUCACCGAGUAGGCAGAGUAUGAGAAUGACGGAGAAAACAAAUUGGACAGGCCGACUAUAUUGCACGUGAUAUUGGGAUCUCUGAAGCUGUCUCUGGAUACUACCAUACCAACCAUACCAUUGUUUUUCAUAAUCAUCACAGCCUUCAAGGCAACUUUUACUCUUCUCAUAGCACGUAUUAAUGCCCUUCAUGUACAAAAAAAAUUAUGAUCAAAUUAGCAACUCAACUACAUAACAAUAUAACAAGCUUAGAAGAUAACAGUAGAAAUAAUCAAGGAAAAUUGACUACUAACUCUAGUCAAAAUCUGGGCUCUAGGUAAAGUAGCACCAGCAUCCUGAGGCCCAUCUGUAGGCUUUAGUUUCUUGUAACCGUUCUUUGACCACUUCAAUUGCGACAUGGACGAUUCCAUGCUAUUUAAGAAUCCUGAAAAACUAGGUAUCUUUCGUGGGGGACGAUCAGGCUUUGCACUAGAUGAAUCGUGUAGAACAUCAUCAGCUACAGCAAUCUUCCAUGAGCCAAUGUCUGCACUUGCACUAGCUGUCCUCCGAUGACCUGAAAACUUGUCCCCCUUGCCCUCUACUUGAGCCAAUUCAACCAAAUGAGAUGAACUCCUCGAACACUCAUUAUUCACUUGUUGAUCACCCUCUAGCGAAUUUUCCUGCCCCUGCUGAUGCUUUCCAAAGAGUUUAUUUGGGGAAGAUAAUGAUUGUCCUGAAAGAAACAAUGCAAGCUCAUUUCGUUCUCCUUCAUCCAACCGCACCCAAGGCAAUGGUGGCUUGCCUUGUCGUACUGUCGAUUCUUUCAAAGAGGUUUCAACUUUUUUUACUUGAUUCUCUAUUGCAACAAUGAAAUCCCGAUGCCUAUCCUUUGCAUCAUCAGCUGAUCCACUAUUUGGGUAACUCGAUCUUACAGCACGUCCAAAUUCUUCCAACUGCAAUGCAUCACACCCACAACCUUUCAGUUAAGCAUAGCAUCCCAAACAAUUUCACAAUACAUAAACUCACACAACGAAAAACCUAAGGCUAUAUAACAUAAGAUCACACAGAUGAAUCAUUACAUGAGUAUAACAUAAAACAUAAGCAAAUAACCUGCCACUUGGUUGUGCCAAGGGUUGUUUGAAGAUCUCUCCGAAGCUCAUCCAAAUUCCAAGAACCGGAGGGCUCCUUGAUCGCAUGAAUCCAUGUUCUAUAUGUUGAUUCCAUCCUUCACAAUGAAUUAGAUAAAUCCCAUCAGUUACAUCGACAGAAUGAUUGUUCAAUUAACAAAUUUCCCACUACAAAACAAUACAAGAAAUCCAGAGAUAAAAUCAUUCAUUUAAAAACUGCGUAAAAAAUGGCUAAGUUGUUGAAAGCACCUGUCGGAAGAUUCCUGAACGUCCUCCGCAGCAGAGAAAAACGGAUCUUUUUCCCAUCUAUCAAACGUUGAUGUCAUUUCUCCCCCCAAAAUACGAGCCCUUAAAUUAAAUCUACAAAUUGGGGCCAAAAAUCAAAAUGAAAAUGCCUAGAGAACAAGAACAGCAAAACCCUAGGUGGCGCUGAUCAAUCUGUGUAUCUCUAGAAAUCAAACGGACAAAAAUGUUCAAAAAAUCAAGGAAUAAUUGAAAGAGACAACGGAAUCGUAAAAAACGGCGGUCUUUUUUUGUGGAUUUGGUGGAUCAAUUGUGGUAUCGUGGAGCUGCAACUGCGGGAAAAGACGAUCUUUCUUUUGCAAUUAUCUGAAGGCAACGGUGUCAUUUUCGGUUCUUGGUGGCUGGCUUACAUUGUGGUAAGCGGUCAAAAAAAUUGUGCAUUUUUUAUUUAAAAAUUAUAUUGUCGGGUCAUUUUGUUGCUGUGACAAACUCAGCUUCUCCUUCAACACAACAUAUUAUUGGGGGAGUUUUAUUUCACUACUAAAAGAUCAUAAUGCAUUGAUAUCUGUAUUUUUUAUUUCGUUUAUACUUACUGUAGAUGAGAUGAGAAUAAUUGAUUAUUACUAAUUCUGAUAGUAUGUGAAGCAGGUGAACGUAAUGAAUUUAAAUAAUAAUUUAUCAAAAUAGAUGGUUUUAAUUUUAAUUUUUUUUCUAAAGACCACACGACGGAUGACUCGAACCCAGGACCUCGGGUCUUGGAUAUUAACCUCCUACCGCUAAAUAAAUUUUAUAUAAUUAAUCGCUAAAUUAUUCUUAAAAAUUAAAAUAAGUAAUAAUGUUACAUGAGCAUAAUAAUAAUAAUAAUUUGGACUUCUUCAUAACACGACGGAAAUAUAGAAAUAUGGUAAUUAUUUGAUGUAAUUAAAAAACAACGAUGAUAUUAUGAAAAAAUAAAAAAAUAUGUAUAUUUUUUUAAAAAAAAUAUUCAAAAAAGAAUGAAAGAGGAUAGAAUUUUUUUUAAAAUUUUAAUGUUUAAAUAAAUAUAACUUUUACAUUUUAAAUUAAAUAGUAUAUAAAAAAAUAUAUCUUUAAAGCUAUCAUACUAUUGUAUUUAAUUCUGAAUUAGUGAUUUACUAGAUCGACGUAAAAGUAAAAAAGACGUAGAAACAAUAUUAUAUAUAGAAGAUAUAGAUCAAUGUUAAAUAGAUUAUCAUUUACAACAUAUGAGGAUGAUGCUCGGCAGUCCGUGGUCAACGAGGGUAAUUGAGCGGUCCUCUUAUUAAUAUUUUACGUGAUUCUCUGGCAAGAUUUAGAUGAAUGAUUCUCCAAAGACAUAAAGUUUCAUCGGAAUGCAUCUGAACAACUUUUGUCAUCUCUGUAAAGAUGUUUCCUACCCCACCCCAUACCACCCCCCAAUCCAGCCCACACCACCCCCCAACCCUCCCCAUUACCACCCCCAAAAUAGGCAUGUUUCACAUGCAUAUAAAAUCAAACAAAAUGCAUAAAGUUUUCACAUAAAAAUGCAUUAAAUUAUACAAAAAAUGCAUUUCAUUUUAAUAAAUCUGGUAGUUUCGCCACCCCACCCCUGCCCCACCCCUCCCCACCCCACCCACCCCCCCCCCCAAAUUUUUUUUUUUCAAAACUGAUUUCUGAUUGCUGGCCCACCCCCACCCCCCCCCUCCCCAAUUUUUUUUUUAGAAAAUCGGUUUUUGAGAAAAUAAAAAAUAAUAAAAAAAAAUUUAUGGGGGGGGGUGGGGAUAGGGUGGGUCAGUGGUCAGAAAAUCAGUUUUUAAAAAAAUAAAANUUUUUGGGGGGUGGUAAUGGGGAGGAUUGGGGGGUGGUGUGGGCUGGAUUGGGGGGUGGUAUGGGGUGGGGUGGUGAAAAUACCAAAAUUGGAAAAAUUAAAUGCAUUUUUCUGUUCAAAGUUAUGCAUUUCAUGUGAAAACUUUAUGCAUCUUUGUGUGAAACUAUAUGCAUCUAAAAUAUAUCUAUUUUGAGAAAAUCUAAAAAAAUAUAUAUUUUUUUAAUUAUUAAAUGAAAUUACAUUCCAAUUUUACCCCUCCAGAUUUUGCCUUGGAAUCCUUGCCACGUGUCACCAUCUUGAUGCGCCACAUGUCAUAAAUGUGUGGUCAAGAUUUGGAUCUAGGGAUCUAUUAUAAGCAUUGGGAUCUAUAUGAUCCCAUUCCUAUAUAUAUAUAUAUAUAUAUAUAUAUAUAUAAUUUAUAAAUAAACUUUCAAUUUUAAACUUGAUAAUAUAGUACAUGGACAAGUACAUAUUUCAUGCUAAUAGCAUCCACAGCAGAUCUCUUAAAAGUAAUCCUAAUUUUAAAUUUAAGCUAAAAUAAUAAAAAGUGAGAUAAAAUGAUCAUCCAACAGAUCACAUAAAGUUGGGUCCAUAAAAAAAUUUACACUCCCUCAAAUUUAAUCCUAAAUUUACAUCCCUUUUAAAUCUAAUUCUAAAUUUAUAAAAUAGAUAAUGAAAAAUAGGAGAACUGCUGUGUGCAAUUGUAAAAUAGGGAUUAAAAAUAAUUUAGUAAAGACUUUAGGAGUAUUUUUAGGAGUAAAAUUUUGAGAGAAGUGCUGUGAAUGCUAAAUCACUCUUAUUUACUGUUGUUAUAUUACUCCUAUUAUUUUUAAUUUGGAAUAGUUAGUGGCGCAAGUAUCAAAACCCUCCUCCUGAAACUGCCGUCGGACGAUAGGGUUUAAGGCGGCGUGGUCAUGGCGAAGAACCAAGAAGAAUCACUCUGCGAGGCCGCGCGAAACGGUGUGCUCGAGCAAGUAAAUUCUCUGAUUGCAGCCGGAGCUGAUGUCACCUACUUCGACGCUGAAGGCCUUACGCCGCUUAUGCACGCCGCCAGAAAUGGCUGCUCGGAGGUGGUCAAAGCACUCCUCGACGCAGGUGCCCCGUGGAACGCUCUAUCUCCUUCAAAUAUCUCCGCCGGAGACUUUGCCAUGGAAAAUGGCCAUCAAUCCGCCUUCGACAUCCUCCUCAAUGCUGGUCCGUCUCUUCCUGCUUAAUUUUCUCCUACUAGUGUGUGUGUGUACAUUUGGUUUGUUAAAUGAGGAAUCUGGUUGCAAUGGCUGUGCUGCCGGGUGUUUGGUGAUUGAAAAUCUGUUUAUUUACAUAACCGUAUCAUUUAUGUAAUUCGUAUUCGUCCCUGUGCUUUAUAGCUUAGAACGAAAUUUAGAUUUUCGGAGGUUAAUUUGUAGCCAAUUGGUACAUGAACACUACAUAGUGCUUGUAUUUUCACUUGGAUUUGUCUAUCUGCAAUACAAUUCCUCACCUUACCUAUGUGUCAUGAAGCACAAAAAUCUGUGAGAAACUUGCCUUUUGAAAGAGCAAACAGAGUUCAUUAUGCAAUAAGCGUGUGUACCUGCAAGCUCCUUCCCCCCACAGAGUUGUAGUUUAUUUUCAUGAUAUUGGUUCACCAUCAAAAUGCUCAUUUUCAACAGUAGCUUUUAUACCUUAACUCAUCUACUAUUUUUCUCUCUAACCAUUUAUGUAUAUUUACUAUCUGAUUCUUUUUCUUUAAGCUCUUCUUUUUAUAAAAGAAUUCUAUUGUUCUUUGUUUUUGACUUUGUUAAAUUGACGGCGACAUAUUUGAUUAUUUAUAGGCAUUCAAGCUGAAUUGGUUCUUGGAACUAUAGCAAGGAAAAACAAUGGAAAGGGAAAUCCUAAUGGGGAUUAUUUGGAUGAGAGGGUUACAUUUAGUGAGGAUAAAGUAAUGGAUGCAGAAAGCAAGGCUAUUAUGAUGGCCUGGGAAAGGCCACUAAUGGAAGCUCAUGCUAAAGCUAUUUGCUCGGGAGGUGGCCACAUAUUGAACAUUGGGUUUGGCAUGGGUCUUGUCGAUAAUGCCAUACAGCAAUAUUCACCCAUGUCACACACCAUUGUCGAAGCUCACCCAGAGGUAUACGCUCGUAUGCUUCAGACUGAGUGGAGUGAGAAGGAGAAUGUGAAGAUAAUCUUUGGCCGCUGGCAAGAUGUCCUUUCUCAACUGGAAUUAUAUGAUGGUAAUAUAUGCGGAUUAAAGUCUAUCUUUACUCUUUAGAUAGAUUAGUGAUAUAACUGAUAGAAUAAAAUUUUAUAUUUUAUAUUUUUAUAUAUCUACCUUCUAUUGAAGAUCUAGUACUGCUUGCGUAAACAAUCCCUCCAGUUAACUGUUCCAUCUUAUCCCAGGGAUAUUCUUUGACACUUAUGGGGAAUAUUAUGAAGAUAUGAGAGAGUUUCACCAGCAUCUUCCGCAAUUAUUGAAGCCUGGGGGAAUAUAUUCAUUCUUCAAUGGACUUUGUGGUAGUAAUCCCUUCUUUCAUGUUGUUUACUGCCAGUUAGUUUCGCUGGAACUCGAGAUGUUGGGCUACUCCACACAGUUGAUACCCUUACCAGUGAAGGAUUGUUUAGGAGAAGAAACAUGGGAUGGUGUGAAACACAAAUACUGGCAGUUGGAUACUUAUUCCCUCCCUGUUUGUCAGUCUCUAGAUGAUUCUGAUUGAUAAUUUUUCUCAUUCCUCUUCCUCCUAUUGGGUUAUGAAUACAUUGUACUGUGCUUGAAUGUAGACUAUUAUUCACUCGUUUCGGACUAUAGUCUUAUCAUCUGGCUUUUGAUAAUGAAGUUCUCUCUUGUUUCAAUUGGUGCUUCAUAUCUGACUGAUUUUAACUUGUAAUGUAUACACUUGUUGAAAAAAAAAAUGAAAUUCCUUAAUGUAAGAUAUGCAAUUGUGUUUUCUAGGCUGCAGAUCAUUAUUUUUGGUUUAACAUUUGGGUUAAGAAAUGUUAAACCACUUAUCUCUCAAGCCUUUGAAUAUGCACCUAAUUUAUUAAAAGGAGGAGACCGACAUGCCUAUAGUGGAUGCUGAUUUUCUACAUGUUCCAUUACCGUUGCAUCAUAUGAAGUGUUGACGAAAUGCAAAUAUAAGAUAUAUUUAAAGAAUUAUAGUUAUGCUUUUAAAUUUGAUGGUUGGUGGACGCAUUCAAGGGAUCCUAAAAAGAAUAAAGCAGAGGAAACUGCAAUUUUAUGGAUUUUUUGCUCAUAUUCAGUACUUUGAUUAGCUUCAGGAAUGUUAUCCACCAAAUCCUGUUCGAGAAUGGGGGAGAAAACUUUAAAAGGUUGAAGUAAACAAAAGAAAGUAAUCAAAACAUGUAGGGAUGAAUGCUGGGCUAGUACUGAUUGCUACUUUUUCUUAGAAUGUUGCUAUUUUUUUUUUUUUUGAGGCAGAACCAGAGAUUAUGUUAUAUCAUAAUGAAUCAAAUCUAAAAGCCAGCUAGGAUUUUUUUUUUCUUCUUAGAAUGUUGCUAUUAAUUGCUUUACAUUCAUCACUUUUAAUUUUCUUACAAAGUUCUCAUUUCACAUACAAGAAUCAUUAGACAUAUAUACAUUACUACUAUGUCCAGCUAAACACAAUUGGACUACCAACAGUAUGUUUCCCAUCCGACCAUUCCAAAUGAGCAAAGCUGCUUGUGCCUGAUGGCAUUGAAGUUGCAGUGAAUGUCACCUGUAAGUCCUCUUCUCGUUUGGAGUACUGAAACUGAGCACUGCUGGCUGAACCUGGAUCUUGACUGAAUUUGUAUCCUGAGAGAUGGAUACCUUAUAAGUUGCUGGAUCACCCACAUUUGUUAGGGUCCUAGUAUAUUUGACAACUGUUGGUGCGCUACUACCCCCACGUGGACCUGAGGCGGUCUCAAGUGGAACAGCAAAAGAUGGGUAGUUAAGAUCUGCUACCCUGUAAUUCACAUCUGCCUUGCAUUGAUACUCUUGCUUCGCGAUGAGCUUUAUCAUACUCGAACUGUAUCCUAUGGCACAAAGGAAAUCUAUGUAGUUGUUGGUUGCUGUAUCAUAUACUAGACCAGGGUCUAGUGCUGAUAAAGGGUCCACAUGUCCAGCACCAUAAUCAAAUGGUGUGGAUGGCUUUCCAGUUGCAAUAUCUUUAAUUCUUUCUCCAUUCUUGUAUUUACUAUAAGCUGUUGUCAUCAGUGCUGACCUUAUAGCUGCAGGGCUCCAUUCUGGAUGGGCGGCCUUAACAAGUGCUGCUAAUCCACUUAUGUGAGGGCAGGACAUGGACGUGCCAGAAACUAUGUUGAAGUCCACAUGCCGGGUGUCUUCAGGCAAUCCUGUAGGACCAACCUUUCCCGUCCAACCAGCAAGUAUGUUCACACCUGGGGCUAUCAAAUCAGGUUUGAGUAUAUCAGGUGUGAUUAGAUUUGGACCUCUUGAACUAAAUGCUGCUACAACAGGUGAUGGCUGGACUCCGAGCUGGGUGCGUCCAGAUGUAACUAUGGCACUUGGAUUAGGGUCUGAAAAGGUGUACUUCUUUAUCUCCUCGCCUGGAGCCUGACCUACAGCUGCUGUAGGUAUAAAAUGGGCGUCGGCAACCAGCUCUUCUCCGAAGGUAUCCGUGUUUGCUAGAAUCAUUCCAAUCCCACCUGCCUCUCUGACUGCCAGACCUUUUUGUGCCCUUGGAUUCAGCCCUCGGUCGCACACCACAAUCUUCCCCUUGGCUUUUUCUGAGAUUAAGCCUCCUUUCAUGCAUAGAUUACCAUUGGAUGCUCUACUGAUAUUGCCAGCAUAAACCAAUGGGAUUAAGGACCCAGGUAAGGGUUUUCCAUUGUAAAGUGAUUCCCCAGUUAGUUUUUUACCAUUUCCAAGGGUAAUAUAUGAUGGGAAUUGUCGAUCCAUUGUACCAGCCCCCACUGUAGUUAUCCAUGGCGCGACAUUAGAUAAGCUACCCGGACUUGGGCCUCCAUUCCCAGCUGAGCAUGAAACAAGAAUCCCUUUAGACGUUGCUGCAAACGCUCCGAUUGCAACAGCAUCUUGGAAGUAAUCAUUGGCUGAUCCACCCAGUGACAAGGAUAGAAUGUGCACGCCAUCUUCAAUUGCCUUUUCCAUCGCCAUUAGUAUGUCGCUGCUGAGACAUCCUCCCUGCCAGCAUACUUUGUAUGCUGCCACUCUGGCGUGUCUGGCCAUCCCGCGUGCUGUGCCUGCAGCAUAACCAAAGAGGCUUGCUCCAACCACAGGCGAUCCAGCUGCUGUGGUUGAUGUGUGUGUUCCGUGGCCGUCGUCAUCCCUCGGGGACCUGGAUUCUACAGUCUCAUCAACUGGCCCAUAUGCUGCUUCAUAACCUUGUGAGAAGAACCUUGCGCCAAUCAGUUUGCGAUUGCAGCUUGAUGAGCUGAAGGUUUUGCUUGCUUCACACGCUCCCUUCCAGCCAGGAGGGAGUGGGCCUACUUCCUUAUCAUCGUAGCUACUUGAUUCGGGCCAAACCCCAGUGUCUAACACACCAAUGAUCACGUCACUUGGUGUGCCAGACUCAUGUAAGGAUGCAUCACUG
rnacentral:lncRNA from 1 species